CAGCCAAGUUAGUAUUAUAGCUAAUUUUAGCUUAAAAGUAGGUGAAUUUUAUAUUUAUUUCAGACCAGAUACUCUUGAGGGACCAAUUUAAGGGCAAACAGACAAACGUUUUAAUGCAAAGAAAACAUUGGAUUUGAAAGUUCCUAUGGAGAAGAAAAAUGGAGAGAUUCUAAAAGUAUGAAGAUACUCCUGUGUAUAAUGAGGAAAUCGUGUCAGUGAAUGUUGUUGCAAUUGUGGACCAGGCCAGAGUUGUACUAAACCAACUAAGACACAAUGAGAUACAGGAAUGACACAAUGAGAAACAGGAAACAGGAAAGUGAUGAAUGAUCGCCACCUGUUACAAAUUCAUCUAGAAAACUCCCCACAUCCAACAAGAGACAGUCUGACUUCAAAAUCUUCAUUGAAGGCAACUUAAUGGACAAGACAUCCGUCACAUAAAGAUUCACUAAAAUUGGAAUGAUAUACCAAUUUUAACUUUUAACAGACAAAUACAUUAUAGAUUUGAAAAUAGAUCACCCUUAAAUAAGUUGGAUGAUUAACAUUUACCUCAACACAGUACAAAGUGCUCAUGUUGAACUAUUGUGAUUGAUCAUAGUCUGUCCUUCAUUUUUAUUAACAGUUUCAUACAGUGUUAACACUUUAGUAUGGGGACUCAUUUUUAGCUCAACUUUUCGAAGAAUAUGGAGAGCUAUACUACUCACCCAAACGUCGGCGUCACCCCUUGGUUAAGGGUUUGCGUGCAAGCACACAUAGGUUAAUAUCUCAGCAACUACUUGAGGCAUUGCAUUGAGACUUUAUACAAUGGUACUCAACCAUCCAACCUACUUAAUUAACCAAGUUUGAUAACUCUACUUUGCAUUUAAUGCCAAUAAUAGGCCUUUAAUAUUUGACUUAGAAAUUCUGGUUAAGGUUUUGCAUGCAAGCACACAUAGGUUAAUAUCUCAGCAACUACUUGAGGUAUUGCAUUGAGACUUGAUACAAUGGUACUCAACCAUCCAACCUACUUAUUUAAACAAGUAAGAUAACUCUAGUUUGCAUUUAAUGUAAAUAAUAGGCCUUUAUUAUUUGACUUAGAAAUUCUGGUUAAGGUUUUGCAUGCAAGCACACAUAGGUUAAUAUCUCAGCAACUGCUUGAGGUAUUGCAUUGAGACUUGAUACAAUGGUACUCAACCAUCCAACCUACUUAAUUUUCCAAGUUAUAUAACUACAGUUUGCAUUUAAUGCAAAUACUUGCCUUUAUUAUUUCACUCAGAAAUUCUGGUUAAGGUUUUGCAUGUAAGCACACAUACAUGUAGGUUAAUAUCUCAGCAACUACUGGAUGAAUUGCAUUGAGACUUUAUACAACCACCCAACCUAAUUGAAUAAUCAAGUUAGAUAAAAAUUCUGGUUAAAAUUUUGCAUGUAACCACAUUUAUGUUAAUAUCUCCGCAUGUAUUGCAUUGAAAUCUAAUCUAACAGUGAUCCAUGCAUGUUUCGCCAAAACUUUUCAAUCCUUACACUGAAAAGCAGCGGAAUAGUCGAGAGCGCUGUCUCUGUGACAGCUCUUGUCUCUUUGGUCUUUAUUUAUACUGGCCAGAAUAUGUUUACCAAAAAAAUCUUAGUAGAGAUUGAUAACUGUUCAGGUUGGACAAAAAGCAUGUAGGUUGUUUGUUCUAAUAAUAUAAACUGUAAAUGCUUCAGAAACUAUAUAUAUAAUUUUUCAUGAUAUUUGUCAGUAUUUAUUCUCGUCAACAUUUAAAUAAUAUUAGGUGAAACUUGUUUAUUGGUCAAAAUGUGUUUGAUUAGAGUGGCCUCAAGUUCCACUUCAUAUGAAUGAAAUUUGGUCAAGUUUUAGAAAAAAACUAUGUUCUAGUUUUAUAGGCCAUAUUCUCUUCCCAAGCUUUCCUUAAAGAAUGAAUGUAGGUAAUAUGAAACAGGAGUCACUAAGUCAAGUAUUAAAAACCUUAAAAGUUGCUAUUCAUAGAGGUAUUGUUUCCUCAUCAUAAAUCACAACUUAGCCAGCAAUACUUUUCAACAAAUAAGGCAUAACAUGUAAAAAGUUAAUACUUAGGCACAUAUUUUAGUGAAUAAAAGCUUGUGAACAUAUUAUUGAAACAAAUAAUGUGUCUGGUUCUGAGGGGAGCAAUAAAGCACAUUGCUUAGUAACAAUUGAGCUAGCUCAUUAUUAAAAGUUUGUUUUAAACUUGAAUUAAAUGAAUGCAAAUCAUAUAUUAUUAUUUUUAAUCUAUAUUUUUUUUUAGUUACCUUGUUCUGUUGUUAAUUUCCAUACUGACUUGGUCAAUUAUGGCUAAUUGUCUUAUUAUAUUUUAACUUCUAACCUAAAUGUUUCAUUGUACUUUUGAGUGUUCUGUUAACUAUAUUGCACAUUACCCUAUAUGACAGUAUAAAUUCAAUAAAACCAUGGUUAUUAAGUUCCAUACAUAUUGGAGCACAUGGUAAGCCUCUAGAAAUGUCACUUCUUAAACCUAGAUUCUUGAUCUGUUCGCCACAUUGUUUUGUUAAUUUUUUGUUUAUAAAAACAAAUGAUUGUUUAAUGUCAAGGAAACCUUUUUAAAGUUAAAAUGUAGAUGUACAUAGAUAACUGUCAAAUAUUAUUUACUAUUUAAUAACUGUCUAAAGGCAAAAUUUCCAUUCAUUUUUAGCUCACCUGUCACAUAGUGACAAGGUGAGCUUUUGUGAUCACAAUUUGUCCGGCGUCCGUCAGUCCGUCCGUCCGUAAACUUUUACUUUAAACGACAUCUCCUCAUAAACCGCUUAGCCAAUUUCAUCCAAAUUUAACAGGAAUGUUCCUUGGGUGGUCCCCCAAUUGUUGAAAAUUUUUCAAAGAAUUGAAUUCCAUGCAGAACUCUGGUUGCCAUGGCAACGGAAAGGAAAAACUUUAAAAAUCUUCUUCUCCAAAACCACAAGGCUCUACUAGAGCCUUAAUAUUUCGUAUAUAGCAUCAUCUAGUGGUCCUCUACCAAAAUUGUUAAAACUAUCCCCCUGGGGUCAAAAAUGGCCCCGCCCCAGGGGUCACUUGUUUUACAUAGACUUAUAUAGGGAAAAAUUUAAAAAUCUUCUUCUCAAAAAACACAAGGCCUAGAACCUUGAAAAUUUGUACAUGUGUAUGUGUCAUCAUGUAGUGGUCCUCUACAAAAUUUGUUCAAAUUAUUCUCCUGGGGUCAAAAAUGGCCCCGCCCCAGGGGUCACUAGUUUUAUUACAUAGUGUUAUAUAGUAAAUCUUUAAAAAUCUUCUUCUCCAAAACUGUAAGGCCCAGGGCUUAGAUAUUUGGUAUACAGCAUCAUCUAGUGGACCUCUACCAGAUUUUUUCAAAUUAUUGCCACAGGGUCAAAAUUGACCCCGCCUAGGGGAUCCUUGUUUUUACGUAGUGUUAUAUAGUAAGUCUUUAAAAAUAUUCUUCUCCAGAACCGUAAGGCCAGGAGCUUAGAUAUUUGGUGUACAACAUCAUCUUGUGAACCUCUAUCAAAGUUGUUCAAAUUAUUGCCACAGGGUCAAAAUUGGCCCCGCCCUGAAAGUUAUUUGUUUUUAUAUACAAAUGUAGUCUUAUAUAAUAAAACUUUAAAAAUCCUCUUCUCCAAAAUAUAAGACCUAGAGCUUUCAUAUUUGGUAUAUAGUGUUACCUAGUGGACCUACACCAAAGGUAUUCAAAUUAUUGUCCCGGGGUCAAAUUGGCCUUGCUCAGGGGUCAUUUGUUUUUACAUUGUCUUGUCACUUAAAAUCUUUUCCUCUGAAAGUAAAGGUCAGAAUGACUCCAUACUUGAUAUGUAGCAGCCUUACAUGGUCCUCUCUCAACUUUGUUCAAAUGGUUUUGUUUGGCCCCUUUUAGGGGUCACCAGAGCAAAAAAUAGAAAAACCUUUAAACAACUUGAUCUUAUUAACUGCUUGAUGGAUCUUCAAGUCUGAAGCAUCCUAGCAUGGGCCUCUGUCAGGUCUUUUCAAAUAAUUUUGUUUGGCCCCUUUUAAGGGCCACCAGAGCUAAAAUUAGUAAAAAAAACUUAACAUUUUCUUCGCAUGAACCCCUUGAUAGAUCUUCAGCAAAUUUGGUUUGAAGUGUCCUUGCAUGGACCUCUCUUAAAUUUGUUCAAAUAAUUUUGUUUGGCCCGGUUGACAUGGCAACCUAAAGGAAAAUGUCAACAAUUGGUUACAAUCAUCUUCUUCUCCUAAACCCCUUGGACAAUUUUGAUGAAACUUCAUAGGAAUGAUCCUUGGUUGGUGCUUUUUCAAAAUUGUUCAAUGUCGUGUCCGCCCUGUGACUUUCUCUUAUAUGGACAGAUUUUAAAAUGACUUGCCAUAUGUUUUCGACAUACCAAGACAACGUGUCGUGUGCAAGACCCAUGUCCCUACCUCUAAGGUGAAAGAUACACUAAGUGUUUAUUCACAAUGGAAUGCUGAAUAUGGGGACAUAAAGAGUGUUGGCUGUCAUUUAGUAUGAUUGGGGUUUUUUCUAUGCGCAGAGGCAAUUUAAUAUAACUUGCAAUAUGUAUUUGACACAUAAAGGCAAGAUCAACUUUUUAUGUACUUGUUCAUAGAUCAAUGUCACAUUGGGGGUCAUUUGUCACAUACUUUGACAGCUCUUGUUCAAUAUUCUUUGAGAAACAAGCUAUGUUAAACUCUUUUACUCAGGUGAGCGAUUUAGGGCCAUCAUGGCCCUCUUGUUAUAUUUGAUUUGGGUCCCUAGGGUCAUGGUCACUGUAACUACAAAUAGAAAAAUGCUUGGUACUGAAUAACUUCAGUUUUAAUACAUUUAAAACUGAAUCUCACAAUAAAGGCUGAAGUUCUUGUUGCAUUGCAGCAUUUCUAGUUAACUUUUUAAUUUGACUCUUUUUAUUGCUUUCGACAGGCACAUAUUACAUCAUUAUUGUAUUCAUUUUUAAGACAAAGCCUCAUUUACUUGAGCGUGCUGUCCAAAGACAGCUCUUGUUGACAUAAUUAUAAGACACCUUAUGUUAUGGUUUAUAUGAACAAUAGCUGUUUCUGUGUAUGUUUUAGAAGAAACUUCCAUUUCUUAUCAUAUUGAUGGACAUAGAUAUACAUACAUGUACGGGAUUAUUGACAUCAGAUUCUUAGGAUUAAAUUUACUAAUGUUCUGUUCAUGUUCAAAAUAGAUACAGUUAUGGUAAA